AUCGAACGCUGGCGGCAGGCCUAACACAUGCAAGCCGAGCGGACGAAGGCAGCUAGCUUCUGGAUUCAGCGGCGGACGGGUGAGUAAUGCCCAGGAACCCGCCUGGUAGUGGGGGAUAACGUUUGGAAACGGGCGCUAAUACCGCAUACGCCCUGCGGGAGACAGUGGGGGAUCUUCGGACCUCACGCUAUCAGUUGAGCCUAGGUCGGAUUAGCUAGUUGGUGGGGUAAAGGCCUACUAAGGUGACGAUCCGUCACUGGUCUGAGGGGAUGAUCAGUCACACUGUAGCUGAGACACGGUCCAAGCGCCUACUGUAGCAAGCAGUGAAGAGUAUUGGGCAAUGGGCGAAGGCCUGAUCCAGCCAUGCCGCGUGAGUUAAGAAGGUCUUGGGUUUAUAAAGCACUUUUGGUAGAAAAGAAGCGCAGUAGGUUAUAACCUUGCUUUUUUGACGAUACCAGCAAAAUAAGCACCGACUAACUGCGUG
rnacentral:rRNA from 1 species